rnacentral:lncRNA from 10 species
UGAACCACCAUUACCAGAGAUAAAGUAAAACAAAUGGAAAAGGGGUGAGAAGGGGUGAACUGUAACUUAGUAUGAGUCCAAUUCACCUUGUGUCUCACUGGAAAGCCCUUCCCUGUAGCGCGAGGGUGGAGGGAGUCCCAUGGGCUGACCGUGGCUGCAGGCAUCCCUCUGGGGUGUGGGGGAUGAAUGAGCUGCCCAGGACCCUGGCUCUGUGUCAGAGGCAGGACUGUUCCACCUGCACAUAAGGGACAGAGAGGAAGUGGCAGCAGGGGAACCCUGAGGCCUCUUUGUUCCUUGGGCAGAAGUUAUUUGUAUUGAUGGCCUGAAGUGGAUGAAAGGGAUAUAUAUGCCUCUAGGUUUGUAUUAAUAUUUUAUUUUUAAAAAUGUGAAUGCAAAUAUAGAAGAAAAUGCUCCAAAAUGUUAAUAUUCAUUAUCUCAGGAAGGUGGAAUUAUAAAUAUCCUUAUUUACUGUAUACUUUUCCAGUUUUCUAAAGCAAGUUUCGCAUUAUUUCUGUAAUCAGGAAAAAGCUCUUAGGACUGUUACAGUUUGGAGGAGGCAGAGGCCCAGCGGCUGCACGGGCGGGCGGGCAUCCCACGUGGAGCACGGUUCCAGCCUAGGCGAGACGCCCUGGCUUCCGCUCGCCGCCUUUAGCGAGGCUACCCCGAUGGAGGGUGACGCAGGAGGACGAGUGUUUCUUGUGGUAAGAGACUAACAAGCAUGGGGUUUUUCUUUUCUUUUCUUUUCUUUCUUUUUUUUUUUUUUGUUUUGUUUUUUGAGACGGAGUCUCAGUCUCAGUCUGUCGCCCAGGCUGCACGAUUUCGGUCCCUGCAACCUCAGCCUCCUGGGUUCAAGCGAUUCUCCUGCCUCAGCCUCCUGAGUAGCUGGGAUUACAGGUGCCUGCCACCACGCCCAGCUAAUUUUUUGUAUUUUUAGUAGAGGUCGGGGGUUUCACCAUGCUGGCCAGGCUGGUCUCGAACUCCUGACCUCGGGUGAUCCGCCCGCCUCGGCCUCCCAAAGUGCUGGGAUUACGGGCAUGAGCCAAAUGUUAAGGGAACGCAUCCUAUUUUACAUACCGAUUUUCCCACAAGUCACCGGGAGGAUGUCACUGUGCAUAGCUGACCGUCGUCCUGUGCCGAGGGUCUGCUCAAGGGACAGAGGAGGACGGUGCUGUCCUGGGGUUUCGUCUGGCUUCCUGUGCCUGUCCUCGGAGGCUCGCUGUUACCUUUCUGAGCCUCAGCUUCUAGCGCAGGGGCUGGGAAGGGAGCUCAGAAGGGGCCGGAGCCGCGCGGCCCCCUGAGCGUUCUCGGUAAACGCUCGGGGUCCCCACUCCAAGCCCGGCCUUCCGCAUGCCGCUUCCUCGGCUACCCUUGAGAAGCAAAGCCCCCUUUUCCCUUGCCCACCACGCCAGUGCUGGCGCUCAGGUGCUGCCUCCCCUGUAACCCACAGCCCGGUUCUGGGUGCAGGCGUGUGUGUUAGCGCGAGGGGCGUUUUCACAUCCCGCGCGCCCUUAAUCGUGGGCUCCUCUGCGCCCCAGCGGCCUCUCAGGUAAGGGUGGUCGGAUACUAGCGCCACCGGCCUUGCCCAGCUUCGAACAAAUCGUGGCCGCGCGGUGGUUCACGCCGGGAAUCCUAAAACUUUCGGAGCCAGAGGAGCCCUUAAGCCUAGGGAUUCGAGACCAGCCUGGGCAACAUAAUGAGAACCCCGUCUCUUAAAAAACAAAACGAAUUGUAAAUUAGGACAGGGUGCCAUUGGAUGGACCUCCAUGAAUGUCGCUUUUCCCACUGAGAAAGGCCCAGUGAGGCUGUGGCUUAGGGUGAGUCACCAGCAAUGUCGGGCUGGGCAGGCCUCCCCUCCUGCCGAGGUUGGGUGGCCCGGAGGAGACGGGGGCGCCUCCCAAGGGGGGCUGACUCCAAUACGCCCAGUUCCUUCUUCCCCAACGUAGUUACCGAAUACACUCCUUUCCUCUGGCGGAGUGGAUUAAAGGGGGUAGGAAGCAAAAGUGGAUUCCAAAUGGGGUCCAGUCACGUGGAAGGAAGGUUAAGGACGGGGCUCAGCAUUCCCGUGCAGUGUAGGCACAGUCAGCUCUGCCCCUCUCCGGGAUCUGGCGGCCCACCUGGGGUGGGCGUCCAGGCCUGGCGCUAGGAGAGUGGAGCGUGUUCUGCCCGCCUUCCGACCGGGCUCAUAACCCGCCCUGCUCCGUAAACUGCCACUCCCACCUGCCUCCCGGACGGCUGCCUCCUGAAGCUCUUUCCCGAAGCAUUUCUCCAUCGCAGAACUCCCUCUUGAACUCCAAACCUUUAUUUCAAGCUGCCUGGCAAACGUCUCUUCUCGGAGAUUCUGCAGGCAUCCAGAAGUCACCGUUCCCCAGGCGGAAACUGUGCGCUGGGUGCCCUUCGCACGUGGAGUCUCGGCCGCAUUGCCGCCUCUGCUCUGACAAUUCCUCCCGACCUCUCCCAGCUCCAGUGAACACAGCCUCGGCGGCAAGCGUUGUGGUGCAGCUGCGUGCCUGUCUCCCCUCUGCCCAUGAGUGCUGGAGGCCUCUCUGUCUUCAUUCCAGCAGCGGCCAGGCUGUCGUGUGCCAGGUGAUAGGCACUGGUGGAUGAUGAUUGCUGAACAGGAGCCCUCAGACAAGCGGGCCUGGUCGGGCCUCCCAGGCAAGGGGAUUUCUGCUUAGGGACCGAGGUUCUCCUUCAGCAGGCGCUCAUAGUUCCCUGUGACCACCAAAGAAACACAGACCAUUCCUGGCACUUCUGAGCAUUUCUUGCAACUCUGAAUUAUGGUAUAAUUAACACUCAGUGAGGUGACUUCACUGCUGGCAAUUGAAAGGGCCAGAGAUAGUCUGAUAGGCCAGAGAUAGUUGCAAUUAAACUCGACCCCACCAGGUGCCGCUGUUGUUGCUGCCAAACAGAGAUGCCCACAGCUUCCUCGUCCGUGCUUUCUGCCUGGAGCCCUUUAAGUCCCUCUUUUGACCUCCUUGCCCCACUCCCUACCACUCAUUGCAGUCUCUAAUUAGGGUCAGGUUUAACCUCUAAAUGGCAAGUCUUGGGAAAAGCAAGGAAAUUCUCCAUCUUACUCUGGCCCAAAUCCCUUUUGCUGUGUAAGCAGAUUUUGUUCUAGCCACACGGAGAGCAGAUGGUCAUCCUCACUGAGUCUGAAACCCUUCACUUAAGAUCAUAUUGAAUUCUCGUGUUUCCUUUAUAAAAACAGGCGGAAUGAGCCCUCACCCUCUCUUCCUAGGCUUCCUUUCCAAGCUCCUAAUCACCUCUCGCAGUGCUCCUUCCUGGAACUUCCUCCCGGGCCUACCCACAGUCCCCUUUUAUGGAGAUCACAGCUGUGGACGGGCCUGGCCGCUGCUGAACCGGAAGACUCCAGAUAAGGUCAGGAAGCCUGAGGCCUGCCCUGGCCCCGGAUGAGUUGGCCCCGAAACUUUUUCUCAUUCUGGGCUUUGGUGCCUGCAGUGGCCGGCCAGCUCCACGUGUUUCAAAGAUCCAGUAAAAUAAGGGAAAUGAAAAUGUUUCAGAAGGGUGGUGGCAGGAUUAUGGGAUGUAGGUGACUUUUUUUUUU